UCCGACAUGAUGAUAUUUGUAAAACUAUUAUUAAUAAGUAGCGGAUUAAUGUUUAUUCCUGAGACUGCUUCUAUUCGUAAUGAAUCAUCGUUAUGCUAUCCACCAUCAAAAUAUAUAAAACCAAUCCAUUACGAUAUCAAGCUUAUAACAUAUCUUGAAGGACAUAUUUUCUAUGGAGAAUAUAAUAUCAGCAUAAGCAUUCUUAACCUAACGCAACGAAUAUUUUUACUAUCAGAAAAAUUAUGUAUUCAAGAUAUAGUUUUAUUUAAAAAUGCAAAAAAAUAUCAUGAGUAUGAUAAAGAUACAGUUUAUGAAUUGACAUAUGAUAUUAAAAAAAACAGAAUUUAUAUUCUAUUUACGGAUAAGUUAUCACCAGGAAAUUACACUUUAAAUAUAAAAUAUCUUGGUAUUGCUGAUGAAGUUUUUAGAGUUUACAACGUGAAAGAAAAAUAGCUUGGGUAGCUGCUAUUCAUUUCCAUAUAAUAUGCCCUCGACAAAGGCUUUCAUGUGGGGAUGAACAGAAUAUAUUGUUAGAAGCAACCUUUAACAUAUCUAUAGGAUGUAAUCAAUGUACGGCUUUGUCAAAUAUGCCAUUGCAAAAUGAAGAAGAAAAUGAGUACAAAAUGUUAUGGACACACUUUGCUACUACAUCUGCAAUGUCGCCUUAUCUUGUAAGAAUGAUUAUGUCUAAUUUUCUAUCACGUAUUUAUUAUGACAAUCGAAACAUUGAAAUAUGGUGCAGUAACGAAUAUGAAUUUCACAUGAAAUUUGCAAAAAAUUUUGCUGAAAAUAUCACGUUGUUUUUUAAAAAUCAUUGGAAUUCACGUUUGAACAUAAUUCUGAAGAUGACUCAUGUUGCAAUUCCAAAUUUCCAUGACAAUGGAAUAAUAGAUUUCGGAUUUGUUUUUAUAAUGAAACAGAUAUCAUCUACGAUAAAGAAUUAUAUCCUAUUACUCGCAAAAUGGAAGUAGCUCAAUUAGUAGGACGUAAAGUGAUACAGGAAUGGUUUAAUACUCUGUUGAUCAGUCCGCUUGUGUCGGAUUUUUGGAUUAAAAAGGUUUUAGUGCAUUAUUUGCAACGUAUGCUGUUAAUAAGGUACGUCAUU